GCUUUUACCUGGAAGGGGAGAAUCCUUGAUAACAAAGGAAGUUUUCCCAGAGUGAGGCUCACCCAUUGUACUCCAGGUGUGCUGAUCCCUGCAAUUUCCCCAAACGUGGGAAAUUCAACUGCAUAAUUUAUGGUAGUUUUUAAUUACUGUUAGCUUCCUAGAGU